GAGUUUGAUCUUGGCUCAGAACGAACGCUGGCGGCAGGCUUAACACAUGCAAGUCGAACGCCCCGCAAGGGGAGUGGCAGACGGGUGAGUAACGCGUGGGAAUCUACCCAGAUCUUCGGAACAACUGAGGGAAACUUCAGCUAAUACCGGAUACGCCCUACGGGGAAGAUUUAUCGGUUCUGGAUGAGCCCGCGUUGGAUUAGCUAGUUGGUGGGGUAAUGGCCUACCAAGGCGACGAUCCAUAGCUGGUCUGAGAGGAUGAUCAGCCACACUGGGACUGAGACACGGCCCAGACUCCUACGGGAGGCAGCAGUGGGGAAUAUUGGUCAAUGGGCGGAAGCCUGAACCAGCCAUGCCGCGUGAGUGAUGAAGGCCUUAGGGUUGUAAAGCUCUUUCAGUAGGGAAGAUAAUGACGGUACUACAGAAGAAGCCCCGGCUAACUUCGUGCCAGCCGCCGCAGUAAC
rnacentral:rRNA from 1 species